UACUCUGACAGGAUAGCUGACUGAUUAUACGCUAUAUCUGAUAUAGGAUGNAUGAGCUGAGCGGCAAAUGUGUGCGUCUGAUACUAUGGUAGUACGGCUACAGGCGAUGAUCAUAGGGGCGUGAAACGUGUCCACACGGUUCUGAACCGACCGAUCUACGGAGCAAUAGGAUUUGUCAUGCGAAGCUGAACACAUCAGUGCAGAAGCCUAUGGUGUAACUGUUAUCAGAAACCUCUGGAUCAUCCGGACUACGUCCUGAAUACCGGCUAACUCCGUGCCAGCAGCCGCGGUAAUACGGAGGGUGCGAGCGUUAUCCGGAAUUACUGGGUUUACAGGGUGCGUAGCGGCUUUGUAAGUCAGGAGUGAAAGUUUGCGGCUCAACCGUAAAAUUGCUUCUGAUACUGCAUAGCUGAAUCAGGAUGAGGUCAGCGGAAUGUGGCAUGUAACGGUGAAAAUGCAUUAAAUAUGCCAUAAACACCAAUUGCAAAGGCAGUUGGCUAAAACCUGGAUUGACGCUAGCACGAAAACGUGGGGAGCAGAACAGAUCACAAUAACCUGGUAAUCCAAGCCCAUAAAAGAUGCUUACUCACUAUGAAAACC
rnacentral:rRNA from 1 species